rnacentral:rRNA from 1 species
AACGCUAGCUACAGGCUUAACACAUGCAAGUCGAGGGGAAACGACAUCGAAAGCUUGCUUUUGAUGGGCGUCGACCGGCGCACGGGUGAGUAACGCGUAUCCAACCUGCCCACCACUUGGGGAUAACCUUGCGAAAGUAAGACUAAUACCCAAUGACAUCUCUAGAAGACAUCUGAAGGAGAUUAAAGAUUUACCGGUAAUCGAUGGGGAUGCGUUCCAUUAGAUAGUAGGCGGGGUAACGGCCCACCUAGUCUACGAUGGAUAGGGGUUCUGAGAGGAAGGUCCCCCACAUUGGAACUGAGACACGGUCCAAACUCCUACGGGAGGCAGCAGUGAGGAAUAUUGGUCAAUGGACGAGAGUCUGAACCAGCCAAGUAGCGUGAAGGAUGACUGCCCUAUGGGUUGUAAACCUCUUUUAUAAAGGAAUAAAGUGGUCCACGUGUGGAUUUUUGUAUGUACUUUAUGAAUAAGGAUCGGCUAACUCCGUGCCAGCAGCCGCGGUAAUACGGAGGAUCCAAGCGUUAUCCGGACUUAUUGGGUUUAAAGGGAGCGUAGAUGGAUUUUUAAGUCAGUUGUGAAAGUUCGGGGCUCAACCCCGUAAUUGCAGUUGAUACUGGAUAUCUUGAGUACAGUUGAGGUAGGCGGAAUUCGUGGUGUAGCGGUGAAAUGCUUAGAUAUCACGAAGAACUCCGAUUG